UUGAAAACUAGAAAUGUGACACACCAGGUCUUCAAAAGAGUAGACCACAGCAGAUGCUCUGCCAUGCUCCUCCCCUUGCUUGCAUUCCACAAAGACCUCCGGU